rnacentral:rRNA from 1 species
GGCGAGUGAAGCAGCCAAAGCUCAAAUUUGAAAGCUCCUAACAAGGCGCAUUGUAAUUUGAAGAUGGUAUUCCGAGUUAGUCCUUUACCUCAGUUCCUUGGAACAGGACGCCAUAGAGGGUGAGAGCCCCGUGUGGUAUUGGUAGCUUUCUCAUGUGGUUUACCUUCGAAGAGUCGAGUUGUUUGGGAAUGCAGCUCUAAGUGGGUGGUAAAUUCCAUCUAAAGCUAAAUAUUGGCGAGAGACCGAUAGCGAACAAGUACUGUGAAGGAAAGAUGAAAAGAACUUUGAAAAGAGAGUGAAAAAGUACGUGAAAUUGUUGAAAGGGAAGGGAAUUGGACUAGACUUGGAUUUCUGUUAUCAGCAGUCUUUCGGGGCUGUGCACUAGCAGUUUUCUAGGCCAGGAUCUGUUUGGAGGCCAGGAUAAAACCCAAAGAAUGUGGCUCUUCGGAGUGUUAUAGCUUUGGUUGAAUACUGGCAUUCUGGACAGAGGACCGCGCUUCGUGCUAGGAUCCUGGCGUAAUAGUCCUAUUCCACCCGUCUUGA